CCUACGGGAGACAGCAGUAGGGAAUAUUGCUCAAUGGGGGAAACCCUGAAGCAGCAACGCCGCGUGGGGGAUGAAGGUUUUCGGAUUGUAAACUUCUUUUGUUAGAGAAGAAAAUGACGGUAUCUGACUAUUAAGCACCGGCUAACUCCGUGCCAGCAGCCGCCGUAAUACGGAGGGUGCAAGCGUUAUUCGGAUUCACUGGGCGUAAAGAGCGCGUAGGCGGGAUAGCAAGUCAGAUGUGAAAUCCUAUGGCUUAACCAUAGAACUGCAUUUGAAACUGUUAAUCUAGAGUGUAGGAGAGGUAGGUGGAAUUCUUGGUGUAGCGGUAAAAUCCGUAGAGAUCAAGAGGAAUACUCAUUGCGAAGGCGACCUGCUAGACUAUAACUGACGCUGAUGCGCGAAAGCGUGGGGAGCAAACAGGAUUAGAUACCCUGGUAGUC
rnacentral:rRNA from 1 species